UGGGGAAUAUUGCGCAAUGGGCGAAAGCCUGACGCAGCCAUGCCGCGUGUGUGAAGAAGGCCUUCGGGUUGUAAAGCACUUUCAGUGGGGAGGAAAGGGGGAUGGCUAAUAUCCAUCACCGGUGACGCUACCCACAGAAGAAGCACCGGCUAAUUCCGUGCCAGCAGCCGCGGUAAUACGGAAGGUGCAAGCGUUAAUCGGAAUUACUGGGCGUAAAGCGCGCGUAGGCGGCUUGGUAAGUCGGGUGUGAAAGCCCCGGGCUCAACCUGGGAACGGCACUCGAUACUGCUGGGCUGGAGUACGAGAGAGGGGGGUGGAAUUCCAGGUGUAGCGGUGAAAUGCGUAGAGAUCUGGAGGAACACCGGUGGCGAAGGCGGCCCCCUGGCUCGAUACUGACGCUGAGGUGCGAAAGCGUGGGGAGCAAACAGG
rnacentral:rRNA from 1 species